rnacentral:misc_RNA from 1 species
GAUGAAGAACGUAGCGAAAUGCGAUAAGUAGUGUGAAUUGCAGAAUUCAGUGAAUCAUCGAAUCUUUGAACGCACAUUGCGCCCCUUGGUAUUCCAUGGGGCAUGCCUGUUCGAGCGUCAUUUCAACCCUCAAGCUCUGCUUGGUGUUGGGGCCCUACGGUUGACGUAGGCCCUUAAAGGUAGUGGCGGACCCUCUCGGAGCCUCCUUUGCGUAGUAACUAACGUCUCGCAUUGGGAUUCGGAGGGACUCUUGCCGUAAAACCCCCAAAUUUUCUAAUGGUUGACCUCGGAUCAGGUAGGAAUACCCGCUGAACUUAAGCAUAUCAAUAAGCGGAGGA